UACGGAGGGGGCAAGCGUUGUUCGGAGUCACUGGGCGUAAAGGGCGCGUAGGCGGUGCGUAAAGUCAGGCGUGAAAGCCCCGGGCUUAACCUGGGAAUUGCGCUUGAUACUGACGUGCUAGAGAACGGGAGAGGAUGGCGGAAUUCCCAGUGUAGAGGUGAAAUUCGUAGAUAUUGGGAAGAACACCGAUGGCGAAGGCAGCCAUCUGGACCGACACUGACGCUGAGGCGCGAAAGCGUGGGGAGCAAACAGG
rnacentral:rRNA from 1 species